rnacentral:rRNA from 1 species
GACGAACGCUGGCGGCGUGCCUAAUACAUGCAAGUCGAGCGGAGUUUUUAAAAGCUUGCUUUUAAAAACUCAGCGGCGGACGGGUGAGUAACACGUGGGCAACCUGCCCUGUAGACUGGGAUAACUUCGGGAAACCGAAGCUAAUACCGGAUAAUCAUAGAAGUUGCAUAGCCUCUAUGUAAAAGUUGGGUUUACCUAACACUACAGGAUGGGCCCGCGUCGCAUUAGCUAGUUGGUAAGGUAACGGCUUACCAAGGCGACGAUGCGUAGCCGACCUGAGAGGGUGAUCGGCCACACUGGGACUGAGACACGGCCCAGAUUCCUACGGGAGGCAGCAGUAGGGAAUCUUCCGCAAUGGACGAAAGUCUGACGGAGCAACGCCGCGUGAGCGAUGAAGGCCUUUCGGGUCGUAAAGCUCUGUUGGUUAGGGAAG